rnacentral:rRNA from 1 species
AUUGAACGCUGGCGGCAUGCUUUACACAUGCAAGUCGAACGGUAACAGGGUGCUUGCACCGCUGACGAGUGGCGAACGGGUGAGUAAUGCGUCGGAACGUGCCGAGUAGUGGGGGAUAACGCAGCGAAAGUUGUGCUGAUACCGCAUACGUACUGAGGUAGAAAGUGGGGGACCUUCGGGCCUCACGCUAUUCGAGCGGCCGACGUCUGAUUAGCUAGUAGGUGAGGUAAAGGCUCACCUAGGCGACGAUCAGUAGCGGGUCUGAGAGGAUGAUCCGCCACACUGGGACUGAGACACGGCCCAGACUCCGACGGGAGGCAGCAGUGGGGAAUUUUGGACAAUGGGCGAAAGCCUGAUCCAGCCAUGCCGCGUGUCUGAAGAAGGCCUUCGGGUUGUAAAGGACUUUUGUCAGGGAGGAAAUCCCUAGUGCUAAUAACACUGGGGGAUGACGGUACCUGAAGAAUAAGCACCGGCUAACUACGUGCCAGCAGCCGCCGUAA